rnacentral:rRNA from 1 species
CCCUUAGAUGUUCUGGGCUGCACGCGCGCUACACUGAUGCGCUCAACGAGUUUUAACCUUGCCUGGAAAGGUUGGGUAAUCUUUUUAAAACGCAUCGUGAUGGGGAUAGAUUAUUGCAAUUAUUAAUCUUCAACGAGGAAUUCCUAGUAGGUGCAAAUCAUCAGUUUGCAUCGAUUACGUCCCUGCCCUUUGUACACACCGCCCGUCGCUGCUACCGAUUGGUUGAUCUGGUGAAUUAUUCGGACUGCCGGCUGAAGGGGUUUCCUCAUCUGCCAGCGGAAAGUCUUGUUAACCCUAUCAACUAGAGGAAGCAGAAGUCGUAACA